AGAGUUUGAUCCUGGCUCAGAUUGAACACUGGUGGCAGGCCUAACACAUGCAAGUCGAGCGGCAUCGAGUGAGCGCAGUUUACUGAGUUCAUGUCGGCGAGCGGCGGACGGGUGAGUAAAGUCUGGGAAUCUGGCCGAAGGAGGGGGAUAACUGCUGGAAACGGCAGCUAAUACCGCAUGAAGUCGCGAGACCAAAGUGGGGGACCUUCGGGCCUCACGCCUUCGGAUGAGCCCAGAUGAGAUUAGCUGGUAGGUAAGGUAAAGGCUUACCUAGGCGACGAUCUCUAGCGGGUCUGAGAGGAUAGCCCGCCACACUGGAACUGAGACACGGUCCAGACUCCUACGGGAGGCAGCAGUGGGGAAUAUUGCACAAUGGGCGAAAGCCUGAUGCAGCCAUGCCACGUGUGUGAAGAAGGCCUUCGGGUUGUAAAGCACUUUCAGCGAGGAGGAAGCGAUAAAUGCGAAUACCAUUUAUUUUUGACGUUACUCGCAGAAGAAGCACCGGCUAACUCCGUGCCAGCAGCCGCGGUAAUACGGAGGGUGCGAGCGUUAAUCGGAAUAACUGGGCGUAAAGGGCAUGUAGGCGGUGAGUUAAGUCAGAUGUGAAAUCCCCGAGCUCAACUUGGGAAUGGCAUUUGAAACUGGGUCGCUAGAGUUUUCUAGAGGGGGGUAGAAUUCCAGGUGUAGCGGUGAAAUGCGUAGAUAUCUGGAGGAAUACCGGUGGCGAAGGCGGCCCCCUGGAGAAAGACUGACGCUGAGGUGCGAAAGC
rnacentral:rRNA from 1 species